UACGUAGGGGGCUAGCGUUGUCCGGAAUCAUUGGGCGUAAAGCGCGUGUAGGCGGUCCGGUAAGUCCGCUGUGAAAGUCGGGGGCUCAACCCUCGAAUGCCGGUGGAUACUGUCGGGCUUGAGUACGGAAGAGGCGAGUGGAAUUCCUGGUGUAGCGGUGAAAUGCGCAGAUAUCAGGAGGAACACCAAUUGCGAAGGCAGCUCGCUGGGACGUUACUGACGCUGAGACGCGAAAGCGUGGGGAGCAAACAGG
rnacentral:rRNA from 1 species